AUGGACUAUUAUGGACUUUCUCUGCUGGUCGCCUCACUGCUAACAGGAAUCCGCUGUGAAGGACUGACUGCGGUUAAAACAGAGAUCUCCAGCUUAGAGGGCAGCUCUGUCACUCUGUCCUAUAAUUAUCCCAACCUGCAAACACAAAAUUAUUUCUUCUGGUACCGUCAGUAUCCAGGAGAACCUCCAGAGCUUCUGAUCUCUCAUGGUGAUAAAGGAUCAGUUCUAGCAAAGGUGAUUUCCAAACUCCAGAUUCACAUAGAAAACAAACGCCUGGACCUGCUGAUCUCCUCUGCUGCAGUGACUGACUCUGCUGUGUACUACUGUGCUGUGAGGCCCAUAUUCCACUAG